CGGGUCCCAGUCGCGUUCUCUCACUUGGUACGUCUCCCCCUCGUCCUCCGUGAGGGUCUAGAGAGUCUGCGCUAAACUUCCCUCAGAUAUCGACAGGGGUGACGCUCUUACUCGGGACCUUACUCUCUCCCUGCCCGAGUGUCUUCCCCGAGCUGUGACGUCUAAUUCCUCACAUGCCACGUCUUGUCUCCCGGGUGGGAUGGCUGCUUCCUGGGUAGGUCGUCUGUAAACCGGGCGGCCUCCCUACUCACGCAGGUGUGUCUGUGCUAAGUUUCAGUCAGGGCCCCACUGGGCUUAGAUGGCCUCCGAUUCCCUAGUCAUGUCUACACUGGCUCUGGAAGUAUACCGACCUCUUCAGGCAUCUGCAAGUACCUGGUAAUCUGCCUGCUUUCCCAGAGGCAGUGCCCUUGACCUGGCGUAUUUCCCUGCUUCCUUAGCCGAAGCUACGCUGACCUGUGCUGCCUCCGUCAUGUCCCAGGGGUGUCUCUGACUUUGCGGGGUCUCCGUUUCUGUGCCUUCUCUUAUCUUGGACGUCUUCUCACCAGGUGUCUCUACGGUCGUCUGGGAUGUCCCCAAGUUCACCAAGUAUCUACCCGACCUGGGCUGGAGCCCUGAUUCCUCAGGCGUGUCCACCCAGGUGGGGCCGCACGGAGUUCGGGCACUUCUCUCAUUCCCCGGGCAUGUCCACCCUGGCCCGGGAGAGGUGUCCUACGUGGAGCUACACGUAGCUGGGGUCCUCCCUAAGCCUCCAGGUGUUCCCGUAGCAAACCUGGAGGGCUUCUCGCCGCCUCAGGUGUGCCUCGACUGACUGGGCCUGUUUCCUGAACACCCGGAGUGUGUCUGUCCCGGCUUGGGACGCCACUCUGAUUUCUAGUCUAAUCUUCAGGGACCCGGAAUGACUCCGUUUCCCCAGAUAGGUCAACCCUGAUCUGGUUGUCACUCUACUCACUGUGUCUUCUCUGUUCCCCUGAAAUGUCAGCCAAGAUCAGGGAUGUCGCCUGAUUCACAACAGGUGACUCUCUAACCUGGCACAGAUCUUCAUUUUCCCAUUUGCUUCUACCCUGACCUCCUAGGUCUCUAAGUCCCCAGGUUGUCUGCACGGACCUGGGGGAUCUUUUUCCGGUGCGUCUACUCUGACCAGCAACGUCUCCUCGGUGUGUCUACUGGGACCUGCGAUGUCCGAGUCUCCGGUCUCGUCACCCCUGCCUUGGGGGUGAUUCCCAGUUUCGUCACCU